rnacentral:misc_RNA from 1 species
GUGAAUCAUCAAAUUUUUGAACGCAAAUUGCACUCUCCUCGGAGACUAUGCCUGAUUGAGGGUUAGCCUAUAAAAAAUCGACUAAGCUGCUGUUCUACGGUGAUGUCCGUCGGAAAUUGGGUCGUCUUAAACCUUUUGGGUUUAAGCGACUUAAAAUUUUCUUUUUGAUUUCAUGAACGUGUUCCUAAGAUUUAUUUCUUUACAAGUACAUGGUAUCGAUUUUUAUUAUAAGUGACGAUCAUAUCUGAUUUCGUCCAUAAUC